rnacentral:rRNA from 1 species
UGCGGUAAUUUGACCGUGCGAAGGUAGCAUAAUCAAUAGCCUCUUGAUUGGGGGCUUGAAUGAAUGGUCGGACGAGAGGAAUUCUGUCUCUUCAAUAUUGUGUGAAUUUAACUUUUAAGUGAAAAGGCUUAAAUUUGUUGGGGGGACGAUAAGACCCUAUAAAACUUUAUAUAAACUUGGUUGGUUGGUAAUUGUAGUGAAAUACGAGCUUUAUUUGGUUUAUAUUACGUUGGGGAGACGAUGAUAUAAUUUGUAACUGUUUGUUAAAUUUUAUAGUUGUAGCUAGUUUUUGAUCCUUUAGUAUUGAUUGGAAGAGAAGUUACUUUAGGGAUAACAGCGUAAUUUUCUUUGAGAGUUCUUAUCGACAAGAGAAGUUGCCACCUCCAUGUUGAAUUAAAAUUUCAACUAGGCGAAGCUGCUUANCUGGGG